rnacentral:lncRNA from 1 species
GCGCACGCCCUGGAGGGGAGUUGGGGUGGGGGCUAUGGGUGAAUGGGAGAGUCAGCGGGGGCGGGCGCUGCGGCGCGAGCCGCAUGAAUGAGACAAACGUGCCCCGCGCGAGACGUCGCGCGCGCCCGGGAGAGAGAGCCAAUGGGAACGCUGGGAGGGCUCGAGACCCGGCGCUGAGGGCAACGGCCGCGCGCCGGCUCGAAGACGAGCGUCGCCGGGCGGGAGCGCGCGGAGCAGGGCGGGCGUCGAGCGUGCGGGGGCAGCGCACUGCCUCUCAGAGGCCGGACGGCACUGCCGGGAGGCGGCGGCGACAACGACGGCGGCGGUGACGGGAGCCGCGCCGGGGUACAUAGUUGUGUAUUUUUAGUUGUGGGACCUUCUAGUUGUGGCAUGUGGGAUGCUGCCUAAGCAUGGCCUGAUGAGCGGUGCCAUGUCCGCGCCCAGGAUCUGAACCGGCGAAACCCUGGGCCGCCAAAGUGGAGCGCAUGAACUUAACCAUUCGGCCAUGGGGCUGGCC